rnacentral:rRNA from 1 species
AGAGUUUGAUCCUGGCUCAGAGCGAACGCUGGCGGCAGGCUUAACACAUGCAAGUCGAGCGGGCGUAGCAAUACGUCAGCGGCAGACGGGUGAGUAACGCGUGGGAACGUACCUUUUGGUUCGGAACAACCCAGGGAAACUUGGGCUAAUACCGGAUAAGCCCUUACGGGGAAAGAUUUAUCGCCGAAAGAUCGGCCCGCGUCUGAUUAGCUAGUUGGUGAGGUAACGGCUCACCAAGGCGACGAUCAGUAGCUGGUCUGAGAGGAUGAUCAGCCACAUUGGGACUGAGACACGGCCCAAACUCCUACGGGAGGCAGCAGUGGGGAAUAUUGGACAAUGGGCGCAAGCCUGAUCCAGCCAUGCCGCGUGAGUGAUGAAGGCCCUAGGGUUGUAAAGCUCUUUUGUGCGGGAAGAUAAUGACGGUACCGCAAGAAUAAGCCCCGGCUAACUUCGUGCCAGCAGCCGCGGUAAU